UACGUAGGGCGCAAGCGUUAUCCGGAAUUAUUGGGCGUAAAGAGCUCGUAGGCGGUUUGUCGCGUCUGCCGUGAAAGUCCGGGGCUCAACUCCGGAUCUGCGGUGGGUACGGGCAGACUAGAGUGAUGUAGGGGAGACUGGAAUUCCUGGUGUAGCGGUGAAAUGCGCAGAUAUCAGGAGGAACACCGAUGGCGAAGGCGGGUCUCUGGGCAACAACUGACGCUGAGGAGCGAAAAGCGUGGGGGAGCGAACAGG
rnacentral:rRNA from 1 species